rnacentral:rRNA from 1 species
UACGUAGGGAGCGAGCGUUGUCCGGAUUCAUUGGGCGUAAAGAGCUCGUAGGCGGCUUGGUAAGUCGGAUGUGAAACCUCCAGGCUCAACCUGGAGUCGCCAUCCGAUACUGCCAUGGCUAGAGUCCGGUAGGGGCCCACGGAAUUCCUGGUGUAGCGGUGAAAUGCGCAGAUAUCAGGAGGAACACCGGUGGCGAAGGCGGGUCUCUGGGCAGUAACUGACGCUGAGGAGCGAAAGCGUGGGGAGCGAACAGG